GAUGAAGAACGCAGCGAAAUGCGAUAAGUAAUGUGAAUUGCAGAAUUCAGUGAAUCAUCGAAUCUUUGAACGCACAUUGCGCCCGCCAGUAUUCUGGCGGGCAUGCCUGUUCGAGCGUCAUUUCAACCAUCAAGCCCCAGGCUUGUGUUGGGGACCUGCGGCUGCCGCAGGCCCUGAAAACCAGUGGCGGGCUCGCUGUCACACCGGGCGUAGUAGAUUUUAUCUCGCUCAGGGCGUGCUGCGGGUUCUGGCCGUUAAAAAGCCUUUUUUACCCAAGGUUGACCUCGGAUCAGGUAGGAAUACCCGCUGAACUUAAGCAUAUCAAUAAGCGGAGGA
rnacentral:misc_RNA from 1 species